AUCACCCAUCACCAUCUUGAUGAUCAUAAUCAACAAUUAUCGAGAUGCAAUAAUCAAUGGUCUAAAAAAGUAUUGCAAUUUCUGCCUCAAGGCACGUGUGUGUGUGUGUGUGUCGACGUAAACAAGAACAAGAAAAAAAAAAUAUCGGUCAUCUAUACAUUUAAAGUGGGAAAAAAAGCCAAUCAGAUAAGUGAAGCUUUUUUUUCUAUUCAUUAUCAUACUUGAUGAUCAAUAGAAACGUUUUGAUCAAGAAGACGACGUACCUCGAAUGGCAAUGAUACGAGAUGAUGACGGUUCAAAGAUUCGAAUGUCAAAUUUUGCUUUUUUUUUCCUCAAAUAUUGUCUUUUAAAGAUUUGAUGAAAAAAAAACGAAGACAGCCAACAACAACAGCAGCAGCAGCAACAACAAACUCCUCCUGUUGUAAAUUUUACAAGAUGAAAUUGUCGAUGAUACCUGGGUUAUAAAUUAGAUAAAUGAAAACAAGAUGAUGAUGAUGACGUUAUUUGAAUACAUCGAAACACUUAUACAUGGCAUACAGUUUAAAAAAAUUCAACGUUGCAACAUUUCAAAUGACGACAAAUGAAUGAAAAAAAACACACACACACACAAAACUGAGAAAUGUAUGGUAUGAGCGUAUGUAUAUUCAACAAAGAAAGAAAAAAAAUCAUACUACUACAACCACCAUG